UCUCUACACAGAGAAUGAGAGAUGGCAGCCUGCUUCCUUCCACUUCCACCACUCUCUGCCUGCCCUGCCCCACCCCACCAUCAAGUCCUGUACCUCUCUCAACUUUUUUGACCACAGUUUUCUCCAUCUCCACACAACUUAAUAUCUGUAAUCUCUCCCUCUCUCUCUCUCUCUCUCUCUCUCUCUCUCUCUCUCUUGCUUCCACUCUGAUCUCCACAAUAUAGGCUGAAGGAAUCAUUGUAGCUAUUAUUAUAUUGGAAUAUGGUUGGAUGAGAUAACACUGGUAAAUUGAACAUAAGGGCAUUUUGGGAAUCAAGUGAGCCAUAUAAGUCUACUACCUUCAUAGCUCAUCACUCAUCAGCAGCCGCCAGCCAGGAGGCCGUCCACCAACAGUUUUAUCAUUCAGCAUGGAGAUGAUGGGUCUGGAGAGGUUGGUGGUGAAUCUGAAGUCCAAACUGAGAUCCCUGCGGAUAAAGAAGCUGUACGAUAAGAUCGAAAAGAGUGAGAGCAUGAGAGUAGAGAUUAAGAGCAGGAAAGCCCAGAAGCUAAUAGCCGAGACUCUCAAGUUCGCAGAUUCACCCAGGAAUAAAAGCUAUGCUUUCUGACGGUCUAAUUUGAUUAAAAAAGAACUUGCAUUUACCAGUCACCAAUGUCAUUCCUCACUUUCCCUGCCUUCAAUAUAUUGUUCACCUAUCCUGCUUUCAAGCAUUUAAUACAUUAUUCUUAGCUAUUAAUCUUCUUC